GAUGAACGCUGGCGGCGUGCUUAACACAUGCAAGUCGAACGGGAUCCCAGGAGCUUGCUCCUGGGUGAGAGUGGCGAACGGGUGAGUAAUGCGUGACCGACCUGCCCCAUACACCGGAAUAGCUCCUGGAAACGGGUGGUAAUGCCGGAUGCUCCAGUUGACCGCAUGGUCCUCUGGGAAAGCUUUUGCGGUAUGGGAUGGGGUCGCGUCCUAUCAGCUUGAUGGCGGGGUAACGGCCCACCAUGGCUUCGACGGGUAGCCGGCCUGAGAGGGCGACCGGCCACAUUGGGACUGAGAUACGGCCCAGACUCCUACGGGAGGCAGCAGUGGGGAAUAUUGCACAAUGGGCGCAAGCCUGAUGCAGCGACGCCGCGUGCGGGAUGACGGCCUUCGGGUUGUAAACCGCUUUUGACUGGGAGCAAGCCCUUCGGGGUGAGUGUACCUUUCGAAUAAG
rnacentral:rRNA from 1 species